rnacentral:rRNA from 1 species
GCAGUCGAGCGGAUCUGAGGGAUCUUGCUCCCGAUGAUUAGCGGCGGACGGGUGAGUAACACGUGGGCAACCUGCCUGUAAGACUGGGAUAACUCCGGGAAACCGGGGCUAAUACCGGAUAAUUCAUUCCCUCUCAUGAGGGAAUGCUGAAAGACGGCCUCUCGCUGUCACUUACAGAUGGGCCCGCGGCGCAUCAGCUAGUUGGUGAGGUAACGGCUCACCAAGGCCACGAUGCGUAGCCGACCUGAGAGGGUGAUCGGCCACACUGGGACUGAGACACGGCCCAGACUCCUACGGGAGGCAGCAGUAGGGAAUCUUCCGCAAUGGACGAAAGUCUGACGGAGCAACGCCGCGUGAGCGAUGAAGGCCUUCGGGUCGUAAAGCUCUGUUGUUAGGGAAGAACAAGUAUCGGAGUAACUGCCGGUACCUUGACGGUACCUAACCAGAAAGCCACGGCUAACUACGUGCCAGCAGCCGCGGUAAUACGUAGGUGGCAAGCGUUGUCCGGAAUUAUUGGGCGUAAAGCGCGCGCAGGCGGUCCAUUAAGUCUGAUGUGAAAGCCCACGGCUCAACCGUGGAGGGUCACUGGAAACUGGGGGACUUGAGUGCAGAAGAGGAGAGUGUAAUUCCACGUGUAGCGGUGAAAUGCGUAGAGAUGUGGAGGAACACCAGUGGCGAAGGCGACUCUCUGGUCUGUAACUGACGCUGAGGCGCGAAAGCGUGGGGAGCGAACAGGAUUAGAUACCCUGGUAGUCCACGCCGUAAACGAUGAGUGCUAAGUGUUAGAGGGUUUCCGCCCUUUAGUGCUGCAGCAAACGCAUUAAGCACUCCGCCUGGGGAGUACGGCCGCAAGGCUGAACUCAAAGGAAUUGACGGGGGCCCGCACAAGCGGUGGAGCAUGUGGUUUAA